rnacentral:rRNA from 1 species
AGAGUUUGAUCAUGGCUCAGAGCGAACGCUGGCGGCAGGCCUCACACAUGCAAGUCGAACGAACUCUUCGGAGUUAGUGGCGGACGGGUGAGUAACACGUGGGAACGUGCCUUUAGGUUCGGAAUAACUCAGGGAAACUUGUGCUAAUACCGAAUGUGCCCUUCGGGGGAAAGAUUUAUCGCCUUUAGAGCGGCCCGCGUCUGAUUAGCUAGUUGGUGAGGUAAAGGCUCACCAAGGCGACGAUCAGUAGCUGGUCUGAGAGGAUGAUCAGCCACAUUGGGACUAGACACGGCCCAAACUCCUACGGGAGGCAGCAGUGGGGAAUCUUGCGCAAUGGGCGAAAGCCUGACGCAGCCAUGCCGCGUGAAUGAUGAAGGUCUUAGGAUUGUAAAAUUCUUUCACCGGGGACGAUAAUGACGGUACCCGGAGAAGAAGCCCCGGCUAACUUCGUGCCAGCAGCCGCGGUAAUACGGAGGGGGCUAGCGUUGCUC